rnacentral:lncRNA from 1 species
ACGCGGGAACUCUGGUGAGUGCGAACUCUGGGGAGGGCGGGAACUCUGGGGAGCGCAGGUAUUCUGGCAAGCGCGAGAACUCUGGCGAAUGUGAACUCUGGCAAGCAUGAGAACCCUGGUGACUGCAAACUCUGGUGAGCAUGAGAACUCUGGGGAGCGUGAACUUUGGUGAGUGCGAACUCUGGGGAGCGCGAGAAAUCUGGGGAGCGCGGGAACUCCUGUGAGUGCGAACUGUGGGGAGCGUGAGAACUCUGGAGAGCGCAAGAAUUCUGGCAAGCGCGAACAUUGGGGAGCGCGGGAGCUCUGGCGAGCGUGAACUCUUGAGAUUCCGCGAACUCUGGCGAAUGCAAACUCUGGCGAAUGCAAACUCUGGCGAGCAUGAGAACUCUGGCGAGCAUGAGAACUCUGGCGAGCGCAAGGACUCUGGUAAGUGCGAACUCUGGUGAACGCAGGAACUGUGGCGAGCGUGGGAACUCUGGGGAGCGCUGGGAACUCUGGCGAGCGUGAAAACUCUUGUGAGCGCAAAUUCUGGCAAGCGCGGGAACUCUGGGGAGCCCGAACUGUGGCGAGCGCACAAACUCUGGGGAGUGCAGGAAUUGUGGCGAGCGCGGGAACUGUGAGGAGCGCGUACUCUGGGGAGCACGAGAACUCUGGCAAGCGCGGGAACUCUGGUGAGUGCAAACUCUGGGGAGCGCGGGAACUCUGGGGAGCGCAGGAACUCUGGGGAGUGCGAGAACUCUGGCGAGCGCAGGAACUCUGGGGAGUGCGAGAACUCUGGCGAGCGCAAACUCUGAUGAGCGUGGGAACUCUGGGGAGCACAAACUCUGGGGAGCGCGAACUCUGGGGAGUGCGUACUCUGGGGAGUGCGAGAACUCUGGCGAGCGUGGGAACUGUGGCGAGCGCGAAUCCUGGUGAGUGUAAACUAUGGCGAGCGCGAACUCUGAUGAGCGUGGAAACUCUGGGGAGCGCAGGAACUCUGGGAAGCRCACAAACUCUUGCGAAUGCGAACUCUGGCAAGAGCGUGAACCCUGGCGAGGGCCAACUCUAGUGAGCGCGAGCACUCAGGUGAGCGCGAGAACUCUGCUGAGCGUUAACUCUGGUGAGUGCAAACUCUGGCGAGCCCAAGAUCUCUCRGGAGGGUGGGAACUCUGGGGAGCACGAGAACUCUGGCGAGCGCGGAAAUUCUGGCAAGCGUGAACUCCAGCGAGCGCRAGAACUCUGGGGACCGCGGGAACUCUGGGGAGCGUGAAAACUCUGGAGAGCGCGAACUCUGGUGAGAGCAAGAACUCUGGCAAGUGCAAACUCUGGCGAGCGCGAGAACUCUGGUGAGUGCGAACUCUGGGGAGCGCGAACUCUGGGGAGCGCAAGAACUCUGGUGAGCGCAGGAACUGUGGCGAGCGCAGGAACUCUGGGAAGCGCGGGAACUCUGGGGAGCGCAAGAAUUCUGGGAAGCAUGGGAAAUCUGGGAGCGCGGGAACUCUGGGGAGCGUGAGAACUCUGGCGAACACAAACUCUGGUGAGUGCAAGAACUCUGAUGAGUGCGAACUCUGCGGAGCGUGGGAACAGGCCUGCCUUUAGGGGCCCGAAACAGGGGCUUUUAGUUGGCUG